UGGUUUCUUUUUUUUUUUUCCCUGUAAAGUACUGUGUUCCUCAUCAGGGCUCUUCUUGAAUUGGAGAACUAGGAAUUGUUCAACUGUGAAUGUUCAAUCCACAAACAGCGGCUGAACAUCAGCUGAACUAAAAUGAGUUCACCCAAUGAACCCAAGUUACUGAGUUUCAGGAAUUAAAAUUCUCAAUAUCAUGAGUUAAAAGAUUGGAAAACAGUAGCAUAUCCUUUUCAUUGUGUUAACUUGGAAGAAAAAUAAUGGGAACAUUCAGAAAAAUGAAGCAAUACCAGCAGAUAAACAAAAACAAAUAAAACGCAGAAUAAGUGAGAAAAGCAGCACCUCAGAACACAUGCGCAUACUAGAUGAAAAUUUUCCUGUCUCCUGUUAAUAAGACCCAUUGCCAAUUACAUCAGAAACUAUGUUGCAGUUUAAGCUAUGAACAAAAAGCAUCAGAUAUGAAGAUAUUUCACUGCAAAUGUACACAGAUUGAACAGCCAAAGAAAGCACCCAACAGAUUGAACACCCAAAGAAAGCACCCAACGAUUCUCAUAUGUAGUCAAAUCUCUAAGAAAAUUUCCACGCCUCCUGAUACAGUCAUCACUGUAUCCAGUAGCUAAAAGAGAUUAUCUUUACAGACGAGAACAUAAGUUCCCAUUUCUGGAUGACACUUAUAAGAACCAAAGCUUCCCAUCAUGCAUUAAUGAUUUUGUUUUACCCCAAAUGAUGGUUGAGGUUAAAAGAAGUUCCAACUUCAAGUUCAACUCACUCAAAUCUCAUUCAUGAGGAAGAAAGAUACCAGUUGGCAAUAUAAU
rnacentral:misc_RNA from 1 species